rnacentral:rRNA from 1 species
UACGAAGGGGGCUAGCGUUGCUCGGAAUCACUGGGCGUAAAGGGUGCGUAGGCGGGUCUUUAAGUCAGGGGUGAAAUCCUGGAGCUCAACUCCAGAACUGCCUUUGAUACUGAAGAUCUUGAGUUCGGGAGGGGUGAGUGGAACUGCGAGUGUAGAGGUGAAAUUCGUAGAUAUUCGCAAGAACACCGGUGGCGAAGGCGGCUCUCUGGACGGUGACUGACGCUGAGACGCGAAAGCGUGGGGAGCAAACAGG